UUUUUAAACAAAGUUUUAAUUUUCUUUUUCUAGUAGUUGAGGCUGGGAAGUAUGAUAUCAUUAAGAACAUUGUCAGAAUUUAUUUUAUGGUGUACAUAUGUAUGCAUAUAGUAAUGUAUCUGUAUAUCCCAAAUUAAUGUGUUAGUUUACAUAUGUUACAGAGAUAUUUGCAUUUUGAUCCAUAGAAUAUAGGAUGUUCUUAAUCUAUCUCAAAGGUAUGUGUGUUUCCAUACUAUUUCUAUAGGUUAUUUUCAGAAAUAAGUUGAUUCCAUGAUUAGGAGUAAACACUUGGUUUGUGUACGAGUUAAAAAGAAAAAAAUUGUUAAUUUUAAAUAUAUACUUCAUGUUGAAAUUGCUUAUCUUAGACAUGCACAAGUGAAAAACAAAUUCAGGCUGGUAGUGUUAACUAGUUUCUAAAAUUUUCUUUUAUUUUUAUACUUAAGGCCUAAAUAAUACAUGGAAUCUUUAUAGUAUAUGUUUAAGGGAUACCCAGGGAUUGCUGCUCUUCUAUUUAUUUCAUGGAAAGGAUAGUCAUAUUUUAUUUUGGAACUUCCUGGAAACUCUUCAGUGGUCUCUGGACUAAUAAAAUCUUUUAGUACUAAAUGAAUAUUAUUCUUAUGUCAUAGUAAAAAUAAUCAUUUAAAUACUUGGCAUAAUAAAUGCCUAAAGACAUUUUAUGAAU
rnacentral:lncRNA from 1 species